ACUGCUCAGUAACACGUGGACAACCUGCCCUUUAGGUUGGGUAUAAACCCGGGAAACUGGGUAUAAUACCCGAUAGGUCUCGAUUGCUGGAAUGCAUCGAGAUUUAAAGCUCCGGCGCCUAAGGAUGGGUCUGCGGCCUAUCAGGUAGUAGUGGGUGUAGCGUACCUACUAGCCUACGACGGGUACGGGUUGUGAGAGCAAGAGCCCGGAGAUGGAUUCUGAGACACGAAUCCAGGCCCUACGGGGUGCAGCAGGCGCGAAAACUUUACAAUGCUGGCAACAGCGAUAAGGGAACCUCGAGUGCCAGGUUACAAAUCUGGCUGUCGAGAUGCCUAAAAAGCAUUUCAUAGCAAGGGCCGGGCAAGACCGGCGCCAGCCGCCGCGGUAACACCGGCGGCUCGAGUGGUAACCGUUAUUAUUGGGUCUAAAGGGUCUGUAGCCGGCCGGAUAAGUCUCUUGAGAAAUCUGGCAGCUUAACUGUCAGGCUUUCAGGAGAUACUGUCUGGCUCGAGGCCGGGAGAGGUGAGAGGUACUUCAGGGGUAGGGGUGAAAUCUUGUAAUCCUUGAAGGACCACCAGUGGCGAAGGCGUCUCACCAGAACGGACCUGACGGCAAGGGACGAAAGCUAGGGGCACGAACCGGAUUAGAUACCCGGGUAGUCCUAGCCGUAAACGAUACUCGCUAGGUGUCGGCCACGGUGCGACCGUUGUCGGUGCCGUAGGGAAGCCGUGAAGCGAGCCACCUGGGAAGUACGGCCGCAAGGCUGAAACUUAAAGGAAUUGGCGGGGGAGCAC
rnacentral:rRNA from 1 species